GACGAACGCUGGCGGCGUGCCUAAUACAUGCAAGUCGAACGCUUUUUCUUUCACCGGAGCUUGCUCCACCGAAAGAAAAAGAGUGGCGAACGGGUGAGUAACACGUGGGUAACCUGCCCAUCAGAAGGGGAUAACACUUGGAAACAGGUGCUAAUACCGUAUAACACUAUUUUCCGCAUGGAAGAAAGUUGAAAGGCGCUUUUGCGACACUGAUGGAUGGACCCGCGGUGCAUUAGCUAGUUGGUGAGGUAACGGCUAACCAAGGCAACGAUGCAUAGCCGACCUGAGAGGGUGAUCGGCCACACUGGGACGGAGACACGGCCCAGACUCCUACGGGAGGCAGCAGUAGGGAAUCUUCGGCAAUGGACGAAAGUCUGACCGAGCAACGCCGCGUGAGUGAAGAAGGUUUUCGGAUCGUAAAACUCUGUUGUUAGAGAAGAACAAGGAUGAGAGUAAAAUGUUCAUCCCUUGACGGUAUCUAACCAGAAAGCCACGGCUAACUACGUGCCAGCAGCCGCCGUAA
rnacentral:rRNA from 1 species